rnacentral:lncRNA from 1 species
GGGAGUUAAGUAUGUAUUACUGAUAAGGUUACCGGAACAGCACACAUAAAGUACAAUAUUUUUGUGAAUGCAGUUUUUAACCGAUUAGGCAUUGAUCAUUCAAACAAAAUCAUGCAUUGUACUGUUAAUUUUAAUGGGUUCAAAAUUAAUAAGGCCGAGGACCUCAUGAAGAUGGUGCAAAUACUUUGUUAAGAAUUAC